CUGCACUUUGGAAGAGGUGCAGUCAUUCUUCCCCACACCCCCUACCCUCUCCACUCCCCCAACUAUAAAUUCCCUUCUGUAGCAUGCUGCCCUUUUUUAAUCCACAUUUGUGUUUCAGAUCAUGUAGAAAGGACAGAAAGUGAGCAGGGAGCGGGGGCUUUUGUCUAUUGUUCUCCUUGUGCAACUUGAGAGAAACUGCAAUCCCACGACUUAACAGAAUCUAAAAAUGGUUUAUCAGCCAAGGUUAAUGAUUUGGGUAAGCCAGAAAAUCUUUCCAACCAGCCGAGGGGAUGGGGGAUUUCCAAAGGGAAGUCUCCCCAUCUCGAAGGAAGUAAAUCGCAAGAAGAAAAGUGAGGUGGAAGGGUCAUGCCUGCUUCCAGUAAAUGGCUAUGGACACCAUUUCACCAAAAUCAAUUACCUCUACUCUUUUUAGUCAUAACUCCUCCAUUUGUAUUACAUAUGGUGUAUGGGUUUGAUGAGGUCAUGGUGUCAUAUAUCGGGAAUUGUUUCUGUGUAUAUCAUCAAGUGUAAGAAGAAACUAUGGGACUCUGAGCCUUGCUUUAGAGAAUAACAGUGGACAAACAUGUACCAUAAAAACUAGUUUUUAACAUUCUGACUCAAGCGAAAGCUCUCAGAAUUUCACACUGUGAAUCCAUGUUUACAAACAUUACAGGUGGGCCCUCAGGCCUGGUUCUAUCACAGCAAUGUCUUCCACUACUCAAACUCCACUGCUCACACACAACCGGUAAAUCGCUUUCUCCAUUUCCACCAUCCCAAUCUGCUUCUUGCAGAGGCUGAGAGUCCCCCUUUUUUCAUUUAGAUGUAACAAGCCUAGUAGUUUAUUUUCAUUGAUUGUCUGUAUAUCU